rnacentral:rRNA from 1 species
GACGUAGGGCGCGAGCGUUGUCCGGAAUUAUUGGGCGUAAAGAGCUCGUAGGCGGUUCGUCGCGUCGGCUGUGAAAACCCGGAGCUCAACUCCGGGCCUGCAGUCGAUACGGGCGGACUUGAGUGUUGCAGGGGAGACUGGAAUUCCUGGUGUAGCGGUGAAAUGCGCAGAUAUCAGGAGGAACACCGGUGGCGAAGGCGGGUCUCUGGGCAACUACUGACGCUGAGGAGCGAAAGCGUGGGGAGCGAACAGG